ensembl:lncRNA
NNNNCUUUCUUACUUCUCAGAUUGGACCAGAUUGCUUAAAGCUGUUGCUUGGUACCAAAAGCUUGGAGACAGCCUGUUAGCACUCGCUGCUAAAAGGAAGGAACUUUCCACCAAUGUCUGCACUCGUUCUAGACAUCAAAAACUGGCUUCCCAGCUGCAUACCUUCAGAUCAACACUUAGUGGUCAGUUCUUGUCUAUGAAAGACCUUGGGAGAGCAGAAAAAGAAAUUGUAUCCUACACUCAAAGACAAGCUUUCCCAAAUGAGUUUGAAAAGCUAAAAAUGACUCCACACAAUGUUCAAAAAAAGAGUACUCUCUACAAACUAGAUCCAAUGAUAAAAGAUGGAUUAUUGAGAGUUGGAGGACGACUGUCAAGAGCGACGAUGUCAGAAAGCAUGAAGCAUCCCAUCAUUCUUCCGAAAGACUCCCACACCUCCAAUUUGUUACUACGCCACAUUCACGAAAGGUAUGGGCACUGUGGAAGAAAUUAUAUUCUUGCCCAGUUGCGUAAGAAGUAUUGGAUCAUCAAUGGCAACACAGCAGCAAGAAAAAUAAUUUCUAAGUGUGUGACAUGCAGACGCUUGAAAGGCAAAACUGAGGAACAAAAGAUGGCUAAUUUUCCAAAAGAAAGAACUCUACCAGAUCUUCCACCGUUCACAAAUGUUGGAAUGGACUAUUUUGGCCCAAUAGAAACAAAAAGAGGAAGAAAUUUUGUCAAAAGAUAUGGCGUACUCUUUACAUGUAUGUCGUGCAGAGCCAUUCAUCUUGAAAUGGCCAGCUCCCUGGACACUGACUCCUGUAUCCAUGCUUUAAGAAGAUUAAUAUGUAGGAGGGGCCAGGUAAAACACAUCUGGUCUGACAAUGGUACCAAUCUCGUUGGUGCAUGCAGAGAGCUCAAAAAGGCCAUUACCAAUCUGAACAGCAGUAAGAUUCAAAGUGCCAUGCUCCAAAGAGGUAUUGACUGGAGUUUCAACCCACCAGGGGCGUCUCACCACGGUGGCGUGUGGGAGAGACUAAUUAGGUCUGCAAGAUGGGUCUUAAAUUCCCUUUUACACCAACAAGUUGUAGACGAUGAAGGUCUCCAGACAUUGUUUUGUGAAGUUGAGGCAAUUCUUAACAACCGCCCAAUCACCACUGCAUCCUCUGACCCUUUCGACCUGGAGGCUCUUACACCUAACCACAUUCUCUUGCAUAACUCGCAGCCUGUUCUACCUCCAGGUGAGUUUUCCAAAUCUGACUCAUACACCAGGCGCCGGUGGAAACAAGUGCAAUACUUGGCAGAUUUGUUCUGGAGGAGAUGGACACAGGAGUAUUUAACACUAAUGCAAGAGAGACAGAAGUGGUGUAAAGCAAGAACUAAUCUCAAAGUUGGAGAUAUUGUGGUGGUGGUUGACCCUACCUCUCCACGAUCCUCAUGGCCGCUUGCAAGAAUACUAGAAACAAAACCUGACUCAAAAGGGAUGGUCCGGUCAGUCAAACUGCAGAC